UUGACUCUAAUGACCCAAUUAAAAUUAAAAUAUUUAAAUUUCCUAUAAAAGAAAGCUACUAAAUUUAUUUUUUCCUAAUGAGUGAGAUUUUAAUUUCCUCUUUUAAAAAAACCAGCAACGUCCAUUACAAAAAAACUCAUAUUUAAGAACCCAAAUUAAAAGCAACCAUUAAUAUAACAUACACACAAGAAUCAUUUUACCAUUCCUAAAUUCUCUUCAUUCAUUCUGUUUUCCCAUGAGAAAUUAACAAACCAAACUCAGAAAAAAACCAAAAAAUUAUUUAAAAUUCAUAUCAGAUUUUUACUUUUUUAUUUGUUUUGCUUCUAAAAUCAGCUUUCUUCAAGCUGACAUUGGUUUAAAGAAAGCGAAAAAAUGCGCUUUCUCGGCGGCUUUCGGGCGGCAAAUAUUUAUUUUUUCUUCUUCUUCAUCGUCGUCUUGUUCUUCGCCAUUGCUGAGCCUGCGAAGACCCGAGUUAG